GUGGCAGCAAUACGUAAAAUAAAUUAUAAUUAUUUAAUGAGUAGAACAAAUUAGACCAUUUGAAAGUUAGCCAUCAUGCAAGUGUGAUAGAUCAAUUAAUAAGAACAUGAUUACUAUAAUAAGGAAACAACAUCUACCCGUUGUCACUAUCUCGGCGUAGGCUAGUUUCUCUGGUGUAUGCAACCUUAGGCCUUAGCAUCCUGAGCAGCAAACUGAAGCAUUCUUAAUAAAACUUCGGCGUAGAAUAAAGUUGGAUUGAUCCACAUGGCGCUUGUAAAUAAAAUCUGCAACCAAAUACAAAACAAAGCAAUUCGUAGUGGAAAUGAACUUCUCAACUUUGAAUAAGAACGAGCUGCUGAAGAUAGGAAAUAGAUUGAUAAGCAAAUGAUAGUUUAUAAUACUUGUCAUAAAUCAGUGUAGGCAUGUCACUCCACCAACUUCCAGUUCAGAACAUCAAGUCUAAUGUAAAAGUAGCAAUGCAAAAAUAACAAUGAAAGACCACAACAAUAAUCUGCGGAUUGUUUGCAAGAAAUGAAACGCAAAAGUAUCGAACUACUUAUUUGCAAUAGGAACUAGAGUUAUGAAAGUUGAAUAGAAUUAAACGUAUAAAGAAAUGCCAAUCUGAUACUUUCAACAACUACUAAGAUCGAUUACUUGUGAUUGCCUAUAGACGGCAAUUUGUCACAUUCACGUAGUCGCAACAUCUCUGACCGUUGGAUCGAGAUCAGAAAGUUUAGAUUUUCAGAUCGGUAUAUUUUUUUAUUUUAUAAGGGACAAAAAAACCUGAUAUGAUAAGAAUGAUGGCGUCACGAAUGAGAUUAACAAACUUGCGAAUGAGAAUCUUGCAACAGAGAGCAAGAGUGAUGUCUAAUGAGUUGUGAGUGUCUUACCUCUGAUUAUAGUUACAUGUGCAAGUCAAGUUAUUAUAAGUUAGUUAUGUUGUUUUCAGAGUCCAGGUGAAAUGCAGGUUGUUUCGGUGUAAGCUGGACUAUCACCGAAAUUGUUGUCGUCAACAUCAUCAUUCUUUGGGAAGAGGUAAAUCUACAUCCUAACCUCUGUAACUUUGACCUUUAGAACUUUACGCUGUGUAUUAGUACAACCAAUCAAAGAUGAAGGGUCAUUUUAUGAAAUAUUGUUUUAUAUUAUUUUAUAUGAAAUAAAAAAUUGUGUUGCUACAGCUAACACUGACAAGCAUUUUUGAUUAACUUAACAGAUAAGCUAAAUAAAUCACGUGAUCAUGUAGAAUAUUAGAUAUUGUGGCAAUGAAACCUGAAACACCAUAUUUUUUAUUCAACUUGCUCUAGAAACUAAUUCAAGAAUCACAAAGGGAAACCUAAAGUCUUCACUAUUGGCAUUUAAUGAUGCAAUAAUUACGCUGGAUCAUUUUAUGAUAGCAAUUAUUUUCCAAAAGAGGCAUUGCAUACUGUACUGUCAAUUUGAAUAUGUAGGCUAUAUUUGGCUAUUACAAAAGUCUUCACUAUUGGCAUAUAUAAGUAGGAUUUUAUUAUGUACCAUAUACUAGUGUUAUUCCAUCUCAAAGUACUUUUACAUUUCCAUGGCUCUUCAGAUUCUCAACUUGUUCGCCCUUUUAACUAUUUUUCUGUUCAUAAUCAUUGCCUAAAAGUUAGGAAUCAUUACAAAAACAAUGAUUUAAGUACUAAAAAAAUACCCCCAGGGCCAUGGAAGCUACCCAUAAUAGGAAAUAUUCUCAAUCUAGUUACAACAAACCCACCUAGAAAAUUAAGAGAUUUAGCCAAAAUAUAUGGACCUUUGAUGCAUCUUCAACUUGGUGAGGUCUUCAAUGUUAUUGUUUCCUCACCAGAAGUUGCUAGAGAGGUUCUGAAAACCCAUGAUAUCAUCUUUGCAUCAAGGCCUCAUCUACUAGCAGUGGAGAUAGCAGCUUAUAAUUCAACAGAUAUAGCUUUUUCACCUUAUGUCUCUCUUAAAAAAUAUUGCUUCAAAUGAAGGAUUAGAAUUCAAUCUUACUCAAGAAGUUAUUUCAAUGGUGUAUACAUUCACAUCAAAGGCUGCAUUUGGUAAGAAAUAUUUGGAACAAGAAGAGUUCAUAUCAGUUAUAAAACAAGUAAUUAAACUUGCUGGAGGGUUCUAUAUUGGUGACUUGUUUCCGUCAGCUAAAUGGAUUCAAAAUCUCUCGGGAAUGAGGCCUAAGCUUGAGAAGCUAAGCCAACGAUUAGACAGGAUACUGCAGAAUAUCAUCAUUGAUCAUAAAGAGAUGAGGUCAAGAAGAGUUAAGGAAGGUGUGGCUGAAUCCGAGGAAGAUCUGACUGAUUGUCUCUUGAAAUUUGAGGACAGUGGUAGUGACAAGUAUUUUCAUUUAACUACUGAUAAUAUCAAGGCUAUAAUUCUGGUAUGCAAUUAAUAAUUCUGUACAACUUGAGUGACGUUACCAUUUGUUUAAUUCAAGAGUCUGAUCUCUAGCUGGUGUGUUUGGAAAAGUAUACGUUGGGAGAUGUCAGUUAUCUUGAGGAAUAAGCCUCAGCAGUUACACGCGGGAGAUAUAUUAGUUUACCAUAAAAAACUCUUUUACUAUAUUAUUAGUUUGACAUCUUAAGUUGAAGAUUAUUUGAAUUACCUAUAACUUUUUGAUAUAUAAUUAUUGUCUUUGAAGUUUGACGUAAGUUAAAAUAAGUUUUUAUAAUUUCAGGAUGUCUUCACUGCUGGAGGUGAGACAGCAGCAACUACCAUUAAUUGGGAAAUGGCUGAGAUGAUAAAGGAUCCUAGAGUUUUGAAGAAAGCACAAGCUGAAGUGAGAGAGGGAUUUGAUAGAAGAGGAGCGGUUGAUGAAGCAGCAAUUGAUGAGUUCAAAUAUUUGAAAGCAAUAAUCAAAGAGUCACUAAGAUUACACCCUUCUGUUCCUCUCCUUCUUCCAAGGGAAUCUGGACAAGUUUGCGAGAUUAACGGCUAUCACAUACCUGUCAAAAGUAGAGUCAUUGUAAAUGCUUGGGCCAUCGGAAGGGAUCCGAAAUAUUGGACUGACCCAGAUAAGUUUUAUCCUGAAAGGUUUAUUGAUAGUUCUAUUGACUUCAAAGGAAAUAAUUUUGAGUACAUUCCAUUCGGUGCUGGAAGGAGAAUUUGUCCGGGUAUGAAUUAUGGUAUGGCAAAUGUUGAACAGGUCCUUGCACUUUUAUUGUAUCAUUUUGAUUGGAGGCUUCCCAAUGGAAUGAAAAAUGAGGAAUUAGAGUUGAGAGAAGAUUUUGGAGCUACUAUGUCAAGAAAAGGUGAUCUUUACUUGAUUCCAAUCACUUCUCAUCCUUUGCUUGUAACAUAAAAAACGAGGUUCUAUAGAAGUUGUACUGUUUUCUAUCAGUUAAUUCUUUAUGCUAGUUGUUGUUCAGUGUUUCGUGCGUGCAUUCGUUUAUGAUUGAUCAACAGAACACAAAGAAUACACAAUAGGUCUAAUUCAAAUCUAAAUUAGAAGCAUUUUAAAUACCCUUUUAUAAAAUACUACCCUUACUGAUAAACAUAUCUUACUUGAUAGCAGUGUUAUAGACAUGAUCAUUCGUAAUAACAGAACACAAAGAAUAGAACAAAAAAAGUUAUAAAGUGUGUGUUUACAAACACAAACACACAUGAUCAUUCAUGAUUAAAUUGAGCACAAAGACACCAAAAUAAAUAAUGUGGAACUUAACCAUGUUUUCUUCAAGAAAUAACUAUAUAAGUAUGGGAAUCACAACCAAUCACAUAUGUAACUCUAGAAGUAAUUAUAUGAUUAAAGUAACAUUUUUCACUGACACGACUUACCAAAGAAAUCACCACUUACCAAAGAACUAGAGGGCCAUAGCAUAGCAUCUCUUGCAUAAUUGCUUCUCUUCUUUUUCUUGGUAUCAUCUUAAUGUUGUCUUCAAUUUGGGAAUCUUGCUUCUCAAUGUAUGAAAAAACAGUUCUGCAACAAGUAAUGUAUCAAUGAGAAAAGAGUAAGUUUUAGUCAUACUCAGACAAAAAUACACAAUAGGUAUAAUUCAAAUAUAAAUUAGCAGCAUUUCAAAAUACACCAAAAACACAAUGAAAUUUAACAGAUUUUUUUUUUCCCCCUAUAAAUUGUACUUACAAAAACAUAAGAUGUGAUUAAUUUUACUGCUGCAUUUCAUCAAACACCUUAAAAGCAGUUUUUUUUUUUUUUUACAACGAGCUGAGGAUCGAACCUAGUACCUAUAACAUACUGCCCAAAAACCCUUCACCACUAGACCAAACCUAGUGGCUUACCUUAAAAGCAGCUUUGGUUCUUUCAAAAAUCAAACUCGGAAUAUAAUAGACUUUUAAAGUGAGUCAUCGUCAUUGUAUUAAAGAAAGCAUAAAGUGUAGUGCGUUUGUUACAGAAGAUUGUUUAAUUUGGCUUUAUUUAGUAAUGUAACGGUGGUGGAGAUGAAACGGUUGGGUUGAGGUCUUGGUUAGGGCGGGUGGAUAUGAAAGAGGGAAGACAAUUGUUUCUGUUGGAGGAAGAUGAGGUGUUGGACCGUUGCUGUGGGUCCUUAAACCUCUGUUUUUUUAGGGAAAAAAAUUUGAUAAUCCAG
rnacentral:lncRNA from 1 species